rnacentral:rRNA from 1 species
AUUGAACGCUGGCGGCAGGCUUAACACAUGCAAGUCGAGCGGGGUGAUGGUGCUUGCACUAUCACUUAGCGGCGGACGGGUGAGUAAUGCUUAGGAAUCUGCCUAUUAGUGGGGGACAACAUCUCGAAAGGGAUGCUAAUACCGCAUACGUCCUACGGGAGAAAGCAGGGGAUCACUUGUGACCUUGCGCUAAUAGAUGAGCCUAAGUCGGAUUAGCUAGUUGGUGGGGUAAAGGCCUACCAAGGCGACGAUAUGUAGCGGGUCUGAGAGGAUGAUCCGCCACGCUGGGACUGAGACACGGCCCAGACUCCUACGGGAGGCAGCAGUGGGGAAUAUUGGACAAUGGGGGGAACCCUGAUCCAGCCAUGCCGCGUGUGUGAAGAAGGCCUUAUGGUUGUAAAGCACUUUAAGCGAGGAGGAGGCUCUUUUGGUUAAUACCCAAGAUGAGUGGACGUUACUCGCAGAAUAAGCACCGGCUAACUCUGUGCCAGCCGCCGCGGUAA